AUCUGACUUAAAUUUAGAAGUGGUCAGCAUAAGAAAGAGUUAGGGAGAGACAGACAGAGCAGGAGAUAUGCAGUGGACUAGUCUUAGCACUCAGCUAUUAGCAUUUGUUACCAGCACACCAAGCAAUCCAGCAGCACUGUUGUGCAGGCAUCAGCACUGGAGCCUCUCUUCCUUGAGACUCUGGUUUUAAAAAACAGAUGAUUAUGCAGGAGUAGUAUUUUCAGCAUCUUUUUACAUGGAAAGAUGGAAUGUGUCUGGCACAAGGAUUUAAAGUUGUUGCUGACUUUGUAUUCUGCUGUACCACAACACUUUGUAGAGGAAAAGGAAAGCAAAUGUGCAGAGUUGCCAGGAUACGGAUUUAUUCAGAACUUCAGCAGCCUGGCACUUCUACUGUGAAGUUCCUUCCCCCUUGCCUCACUCCCUCAUGCUCCAGCAGCAGGCAGAUAGACAAGAAAUAG
rnacentral:lncRNA from 1 species